GGAAGGGAGAAGAAAAGGGUAUAGAGGGGGAAGUGGAAAGGGAAAGAGAGAAAGGGAAAAGAAGAAGGGGAAGGGUCGGCUCUUGUCUCCCCGCUGCUCCGCGCCCCGGGGCGCUGCCGGUGCCGGAGGCUGCACCAUCACGGAGGGGAGAGGAGCGUCCUCCGGCUGCGUCCCCCGAAGGUGCAGUGAAGGGGACGUCGCUGUUGAGCUGUGCUCAAGCGUUGAGGGCGAAGGGCAGGCAGGUGUGAGGUAUGCGAAGUGUUGGUUUGUCUGAGCUGAGAGGGAUGGGGGGGAGAGAAACUGGGAGCUGGAGGAGCAUCUCCCCUGGGCUGAACCAUCCCCCUGAGGCUGAGAACUGGGACUGCUCAGCCUAGAGAAGAGAAAGCUCAGGGGGUGUUCUCAUCCAUAUCUACAAUACCUGAAGGGAGGGUGCAAAGAGGAUGGAGCUAGGCUGUUCUUAAUGCUGCCCAGAGAAGCUGUGGACUCUAUCUUUGGAGAUACUCAGAUGCUAUCUGGACAUUGUUCUGGAUGACCAGCUCUGGGUGGCCUUGCUUGAGCACGGGAGAUUGGACCAGCUGGAUCCGAGAAGGAUCAUGAGGUGUUUGGGCCAGUAAGAGCAAAGGUUUACUUUUUCAAGAACGAGAAAGAAGCAAGAGUUUGAAGACACAAACAAUAGUCUUACUUCUUUUUUUCUGAGAAAGAAUAAAGACAGUGAGGGCUUGGCUUCUGAGCCAGUCUGCAAACAGAAGACAGAAAGAUGUUCCAGAACGAAGUGUGAAACAACACAUUUAAAACCCUUAUCUUUAGAAGCAGCUAAGGGGCAGAGGAGCUUCUUCAAUCAAUAAAUGUUCACGCAUCUUUACCUCCAAAGAUCAUGGUUAAUGAACCAGCUAAUCUGCUUCCAAAAAGAGAUUGAGGUCCAUCUUUGGAGAUCUUCUCACUGCAUUAUGGAUCCACCCCUUCUGGCCAGAGAAUCCACAGUCACUGAAAUGGGAAGGCGAGCAGAGUACAGGCAACUGAAGAAUUCCUGUCCCAGUCUGAUGAUGCCACUCAGGCCUUCAGGAUGAAGUGCUCAGCACCAUCAGAGCCCAGGGAAAGCCUGCAACUGGAGGUACUAAAUCCCCCUGUGGUGCAGCUGUCUGAAGUGCUGCCUGAGGUCUCGACUGGUCUAAAGCAGAAGAUACUUCAGCUGGUGUAUUACUGUCAGUUCCUUAACAAAGAUGACAUUAAGUAGGUCAUGCCACCUGGAACAACUCCUAAAGCCAGAAAGCUGGGGAAUGAGCUAGCAGGACUUUCAGAGCAGCCCAUGGUCAGUAGGAGAGAGAAACUGAUUGCUCAUAGGUUCUCCAGGAAAGCCUCAUCUUAGAGUUUCCCCACAUGAACACGAACUAGGCUCUGUAGCUCAUGAAGGAUGGUCACAAUUCCUGAUGAUGCGGACAGAAAGCCCUGCAGCUUCUUCAUAGUUGUUAGUUCUAUCUCCAUGUUCUUUGUGGUGGCCUUCAGGGCCUUGACAUAACUGUCCUCUAGGAUACACUGUUCCUACCAUUCCUGAAGCUGUCAAACUAAGGCAAGAAUGCUUAGUAGUUAGGGUAGGGUUACAGCAUUUCCUAAAUGCUUCUACAACACUCCUCCUUGUCUCACAAGGACACUGCACAUUCUUCGUAGCCACUUGUUGGCUGCUCCAAUGCGGUUAGAAGCUCCUCCUGCUCCUAAAGUGACUUUCCAAGUCCAUAACAAUAAUGUGAUGAGGAAAUACAAAAAAAGUAUCAGAUGAGAUGGUGAGCAAGAAAUGUUCACGAGUGUUCUUGGGCCUCUGGAGCAGGAGUGCAGAGCAUUUGAUACCUAGCGAGCUGCCGGCCUGAGGAUAAUCAUUGGUGGCGAAAACAAGAAGGCAUGAAAACAAUAGCAGUGAUCGCAAGGAGCUUGGAAGGAGAAGAACUGCUGUGGAAAUUUUUAUGAAGGACUCAUGGGACCGGUGUUGACAUUUUUAGUAAGGUAUAAAUACAAGGUUGUAAUGAUAAACUUGGUCUUAGCUUGAAACGAAAGCUGAGUCUGUGCCUGUUAAUACGCCACAAAUGGCGCCCGAUUUAGGGUCUGAACAGAGGCUCACAUGAGGAGCGUGGUCCGGCGGCGUGCAUCAGCAGAAUGUUUGGAAGGUCUGAAACGAAGCCCAGGGUGCACCCGUAGACACCUUCCCACUAGACAGAAAGUGAGCUGCUGGUAAGGUGAUGGGGAACACCAUAAACCAGGAAUAGAAAGAUGUAAUUUAUUUAUAUUUAAAUAUAUUUUAAAGAAACAAAACUGAACGCUAGAAACUAAUGAUAUUAAAGCACUUUUGGUGUGG